rnacentral:rRNA from 1 species
UACAGAGGUCUCAAGCGUUGUUCGGAUUCAUUGGGCGUAAAGGGUGCGUAGGCGGCGCGGUAAGUCGGGUGUGAAAUCUCGGAGCUUAACUCCGAAACUGCAUUCGAUACUGCCGUGCUUGAGGACUGGAGAGGAGACUGGAAUUUACGGUGUAGCGGUGAAAUGCGCAGAUAUCAGGAAGAACACCAAUGGCGAAAGCAGCUUUCUGGGACGGUACUGACGCUGAGACGCGAAAGCGUGGGGAGCAAACAGG